ACGAAUGAUUGGGGUGAAGUCGUAACAAGGUAGCCGUAUCGGAAGGUGCGGCUGGAUCACCUCCUUUCUAAGGA
rnacentral:rRNA from 2 species